rnacentral:misc_RNA from 1 species
UCUGGUUCCAUUUUGAGAUCUGAAAGAAUGCCUUGCAUCUCAUGUGCUUCAUUCAGAAAUUUAUUUCAUUUAUGUGGAAUUAGAACCAUAAGUAAUUGAUCAAUGAGUGAACUUAAGUGCUUUAGGAGUAAUUCUUCCACAAGUUCUUUAAGCCUUGUGGCAUUUCCACUUGUACAAGUCUCUCUCUUUGCAUAUCUGGUCG